rnacentral:rRNA from 1 species
UACGUAGGGGGCGAGCGUUAUCCGGAUUUACUGGGUGUAAAGGGCGUGCAGCCGGGCUGACAAGUCAGAUGUGAAAUCCCGCGGCUCAACCGCGGAACUGCAUUUGAAACUGUCAGUCUUGAGUACCGGAGAGGUCAUCGGAAUUCCUUGUGUAGCGGUGAAAUGCGUAGAUAUAAGGAAGAACACCAGUGGCGAAGGCGGAUGACUGGACGGCAACUGACGGUGAGGCGCGAAAGCGUGGGGAGCAAACAGG